ensembl:lncRNA
CGAUGUGCAAACAAUGCAAGUGUGACUAGAGUAAAUGAACAAUGCUAGAGGGUUUAAAAACUUUCUUUACAACAAAAACAAAUAAUCAUAUCAAUAACAAUAUUGUAUAAGACUUACAAUAUCCAUAAAUGUACUCAUUAUUAUUUAAAAUGUAUAUUUCAUUAUUUUUUGAAAUGUAUAAUUUGUAUUGCUUAACGUUAAGCUGUAAAAAUAGGCUACCUUUUGUAAGGACCUCUUUGUCGUGCAUUCAUUUCACUGUAGGGAUAUCUUCUGUUUCAGCUGAAUCAUGUGGUCACUGUUGUGCAAAGAUCAAAUAUGUAUGUAACUUCCUGCAUAACUACUACACUGUGAAUAAUAAUAAUAAUAAUAAUUUCAGAACCUUUCUCAAGUCAACAUUAUAAAAAGAUAAUAAUAAUAAUAAUAAUAAUAAUAAUAAUAAUAAUAUCUAAAAAACAAAACAAAACAAAAAAAACACCGCCCACAACUCACUUGGUAGGCGUGAACAUUUAAUUGCGCGUGCGCAUUCCUUGCUCAAAUUGCAACGGUCGACUCGGAGCCGAAGAGGAGACGACAGGAGUUUCUGAAAGAGCAGCGGUGACAGACAAUUAAAAUGAGGUUCAUGCUGAUACAAUGGAUCGAAGAUCCCCCAAAAUGGGAUGUGCUUCCAACCAAUAAAAUGAUACAUGGCUGCUGUGAAAUUGGUUGUAUAUGUGACGUUUCAUACGAAGAUGAGUCAAGCCCUGCAAAAAUUUUAAACAUUGGAACUAGAUCUGCAAUGCUGAAGCAGCUAAAUACGGUCAUCAACAGGACUGGGCCUGAAGGAAAUGGAGAACAAUUAGGGAGAGGGCAGCGCAAAAAAUACCGCCGAAUACUGUCGGAGAGCUCCAGCAGUGAGGAAUAUGAGUCUGUCAACAAACAGGUUGCUGCAAAGACCAUAAACAGGAUACGAGCCAGAUCUUUUCUCCAGCAGUAUAAUCAAGAAAAAGAAUCAAACAGGGAGGCAGUAACAUCUAGAAACCGUGACAGUGAAUUUAAUGUUCAAAUACUUGCAGAACUGAGAGAAAUCAAGAGUGUUCUUUUGGAAACUCUGACACUUUUAAAAAAUGGAUGCACUCCAUUAAUGACUGUGCCAAUCCCAAACACAUUGGGAACUCCUCCUGGACCCACUUCAGAUUUGAUCCCCUGCAGUUCAGAGUCUUCUGCAGUCAUACCAGCCCCGAGUUCCUCUCUUCAGACUCUUUAUGUAAAGGAGUCUAGAAGUAAUGGUAACUGCAAAAAGGUAAGAAUUGGCUCCAACACAUCAAUCUCUGCUGAACAGUUUGCCCACGUAAAAUGGACUGAUCACAAAAAAGCCACAAAAGACCUCUUGAUGGCAGUGUUUGGAAGAGGCAUUCUCGCAACACACUGCUACAGUGGAAGAUGUUCCAAUGCAUUCAAAAACAAAGCAGCCAAGCCUCAACUUGAUUCUGAAAAAGUUUCUGACAUCAUUAGCUACAUCAAAAAUAAAUUCAAUGUUGAAGCAAAUGUAAUUAAGAAGGCCAUCUCCCAGAAAUGCACAGACGAGUGCAAGUUGGCAAAACGGCACCACAGUGAUUGUGUGUGA